rnacentral:rRNA from 1 species
AUGGGAAAGCGGCAGGAAAGGGAGAAAGAUGAGGGCGGCGACGGAAAGAGGAGGAAGGUCGCGGCUGCGGCCCCCGUCUUCACCAUGGACGACCUUGACAUCCUCCACUGCGCCGUCUGCUGCGACCCCCUGCGCCCUCCCAUUUCCCAGUGCUCUACGGGUCGUCAUACCAUCUGUUCGUCCUGCCAGGACAAGCUCCCAGGCAAGUGCUGCUACUGCUGCGAAACAACAGUCUACAGUCGCUGCCGCGGGAUAGAAAAUAUGAUUGAAUCCCUCAAAGUUGCUUGCCCCAAUAAUGGAUGCACUGCAAGGAUAAAAUACUACCAAAAAGAAGAGCAUGAGGAAGUUUGCCCGCAGGCGCCAUGCUUCUGCCCCAUAGCCGACUGCAGCUUCAGCGGACCAACCGCAACGCUCUUGGAGCAUUUCUCAAGCAAGCACAAGCUGGACUCCACAAAAGUUUCGUACAACAAGGGGUUCGGGAUCCUCAUCAGCUUCAAUGUUAACGGCGAUCUUCCAGAACCAACCAUUCUUGUGGGUGAGGAUGGAUACCUCUUCAUUGUCUACAUGAAGACAGAGUCCCUCGGCCUUGGCAUCGCAGUCUGCUGCGUCCAGCCCCACAUUACAACUGGAUCCAAGUUCAAGUGCAAUCUGUCAUUGUCGUCGGCUGAGACGGGCUACUCCCAGGCUACAGAGUUUCACACAAGGAACACUAACCUGUAUGAUGGGUUUCCCGAUGACUGCUUCCUAUUCCUUGUGCCCAAGGCGAUGCCUCCAGGCGCUGGUACAAGUGACACGGUCCUGGUGAGUAUGGAACUCACGCCACAGUAG